AUUAUUCGUCCUAAAAUAAAUUUAGUUAAACAUAUUAAUGAACGAAAAGCAAGAUAAAUUCAUGGAAGACAUCACCCAAUUUAUUGACGGAAUGUGAUUAAAGUUUUGGCAACGUGAAUAAGCCGACUUUGUGUAACUGCCUCCUCAAUGUUUUUCCUCCCAACCGGCAAUUUGUGCAUGUAAUUUUCAGCAGCCAGCAACUUAAUCUUCCACCCAGAAGCCGAAAUUUUCGUGUGUGUGGAGAUGAAUUUCAGCAGCCCCAGCCUUAUUAAUUCAACUGUCUUAUUUGCUUCGAUUUCCGUGCGUAUAUAAAUAAAAUCUAGCAGCCGCUAAUUAACUCCAAAAAAGGGACUCCCUUGUUUGCUGUGAGUGUAUAUAAUAAUCUUCUUGGCUUCCCUCAAAUUCUAUUCUCUUUUCUCUCGAUUUUCUGUGAUGAAUCAAUUGGAGCAGUAAUAAUUUACUCCCUAAAGUUGCAGUCCAA
rnacentral:lncRNA from 1 species